UACUUUUGCUGAACAUUUACUCAUCCUCAGGCCAUCCAAUAUUUGAUGAGUUUGUUUUUUUAUCAAAUUUGAAGAAAUUUUGCAUUACAUCAGUUGCUCACCAAUGGAUCCUCUGGAGUGAAUGGGUGCCGUCAGAACAAGAGCCCAAACAGCUGAGAAAAACCUCACAAUAAUCCACCCGACUGUAGUCCAUCAAUUAACAUCUUGUGAAGCUACAAGCCACACGUUUGUAAGAAACAUCAUCAAGACGUUUUUAACAUAAAACUGUUGCUUCCAACUAAAAUAAGAGUCUGUUAUUCAUAAUAUUGCAUUUUCCAUAGAAAAAGCCAUCACAUGUGAAUCUGGAGACAAAUAUGCACAUACCACGCACCAUUUACAAGAGAAGACAGUCCAAAACUGUUCUAAACAAACAUGUUGGUGGAUUUAGAGGACAACCGGGGCUGGCCUUUUUUACUGGAGGAAGCAUUAUUAUGGAUUAUGAACACACAUUUUGGCACAGUCUUUAAAGUUAAUAAAUGCAUUAAUGAUAGAUUUAUUAUCACUUAACAAGACAUUACUGAUGGACUGGAGUCAUGUGGAUUACUUAUGGAUUAUUGUGAUAUUUUUCUCAGCUGUUUGGACUCUCAUUCUGACGGCACCCAUCAUUCACUGCAGAGGAGCCAUUGGUGAGUAUAGGUGAUGUAAUGCUAAAUUUCUCCAAAUCUGUUCUGAUGAAUAAACAAACUCAUCUACAUCUUGGAUGGCCUGAAGCAAUCAUUUCAGCUUUGUUUUUUUUUUUUUAUUCCUUUAAACAGAUCACAUAAAUGUGCAACAAUGUGAACUUGGACACACCACACGGAAGUCAUCCUCAUAUUUAAAUGCACCAUCUCUAUAUCUUGGAUGGCCUGAGGCAAAACACAACCCAGAAGAAGUACGAGAAGAAGCUUUUUCCAACUGUAGUCGUUGCUUGUUUACUUCAUUCAAGCGGUGCCGUGGAGAAAAAGGGAGACGCCAUUAUAUGCUUCAAAUGCACAAUAGACAAAUCUGGGUUUGUUUCCCUUCAGCUACGAUGACGUUGAUGCUUGACGACACUGAAUGGCAUCUCUUAAAAUAUCUGCAAUCAAGCGUGCGCAACUAAGGGAAUUCAGCACAGCAAAGUGCAUCCACAUCAGAGUAGUUCCUGCACUGGAU
rnacentral:lncRNA from 12 species